UACGUAGGGUGCGAGCGUUGUCCGGAAUUAUUGGGGCGUAAAGAGCUCGUAGGCGGCCUGUUACGUCUGCUGUGAAAUCCCGGGGCUUAACCCCGGGCGUGCAGUGGAUACGGGCAGGCUGGAGGCAGGCAGGGGAGAACGGAAUUCCCGGUGUAGCGGUGAAAUGCGCAGAUAUCGAGAGGAACACCUGUGGCGAAGGCGGCCAACUGGACGAGUACUGACGCUGAGACACGAAAGCGUGGGGAGCAAACAGG
rnacentral:rRNA from 1 species